rnacentral:rRNA from 1 species
UGGGGAAUAUUGCACAAUGGGGGGAACCCUGAUGCAGCGACGCCGCGUGAGUGAAGAAGUAUUUCGGUAUGUAAAGCUCUAUCAGCAGGGAAGAUAAUGACGGUACCUGACUAAGAAGCCCCGGCUAACUACGUGCCAGCAGCCGCGGUAAUACGUAGGGGGCAAGCGUUAUCCGGAUUUACUGGGUGUAAAGGGAGCGUAGGUGGCAAGGCAAGUCAGAUGUGAAAGCCCGGGGCUCAACCCCGGUAGUGCAUUUGAAACUGUCUAGCUGGAGUGCAGGAGAGGUAAGUGGAAUUCCUAGUGUAGCGGUGAAAUGCGUAGAUAUUAGGAGGAACACCAGUGGCGAAGGCGGCUUACUGGACUGUAACUGACACUGAGGCUCGAAAGCGUGGGGAGCAAACAGG